ensembl:lncRNA
GUUCUGAUGGCUUUUUCACCUUAAGAUUUAUGUUUUCUUUUGAACCCUUUCUUAUCCUCUCCCAUUCUUUACCUCUAUUAUUCUCCAAGAAACGGAAAGGGUUAUGGAUUGGUAUUUGGUUAUUAGUUUGGGGUUUCGACAACACUGCGGGAAUCAGUGCUGUAAGCCUCCGCUGUUUAUUCAAACCCUCCCUGUGUGCUUAAUAACAAAAUAUGGUAGAGAGAAGAAUGAAAGUGUUUCCAUCCGAUGAAAGUGGAAAAGAACAGGCCCCAAGCAGAAUUUGAAGAAGAAAGGGAAAGAAUGCAAGGGUAGGAGCAGGGGAAAGCAUAUUCCC